GAUGAACGCUGGCGGCGUGCCUAAUACAUGCAAGUCGAGCGAACGGACGAGAAGCUUGCUUCUCUGAUGUUAGCGGCGGACGGGUGAGUAACACGUGUAUAACCUACCUAUAAGACUGGGAUAACUUCGGGAAACCGGAGCUAAUACCGGAUGAUAUUUUGAACCGCAUGGUUCAAAAGUGAAAGACGGUCUUGCUGUCACUUAUAGAUGGAUCCGCGCUGCAUUAGCUAGUUGGUAAGGUAACGGCUUACCAAGGCAACGAUGCAUAGCCGACCUGAGAGGGUGAUCGGCCACACUGGAACUGGGACACGGUCCAGACUCCUACGGGAGGCAGCAGUAGGGAAUCUUCCGCAAUGGGCGGAAGCCUGACGGAGCAACGCCGCGUGAGUGAUGAAGGUCUUCGGAUCGUAAAACUCUGUUAUUAGGGAAGAACAUAUGUGUAAGUAACUGUGCACAUCUUGACGGUACCUAAUCAGAAAGCCACGGCUAACUACGUG
rnacentral:rRNA from 1 species